rnacentral:rRNA from 1 species
CAGCACCUCAAGUGGUCAGGAUGAUUAUUGGGCCUAAAGCAUCCGUAGCCGGCUCUGUAAGUUUUCGGUUAAAUCUGUACGCUUAACGUACAGGCUGCCGGGAAUACUGCAGAGCUAGGGAGUGGGAGAGGUAGACGGUACUCGGGAGGAAGUGGUAAAAUGCUUUGAUCUCUCGAUGACCACCUGUGGCGAAGGCGGUCUACCAGAACACGUCCGACGGUGAGGGAUGAAAGCUGGGGGAGCAAACCGGAUUAGAUACCCGAGUAGUCC